GGGCCCAUAGCUCAGUUGGUUAGAGCAUCUGACUCAUAAUCAGACGGUCGUAGGUUCGAGUCCUACUGGGCCCA
rnacentral:tRNA from 1 species